UACAGAGGUGGCAAGCGUUGUUCGGAAUUACUGGGCGUAAAGGGCGCGUAGGCGGCCUGGUCAGUCCCGUGUGAAAUCCCUCGGCUCAACUGAGGAACUGCACGGGAAACUGCCUGGCUUGAGUUCGGGAGAGGGAAGCGGAAUUCCGGGUGUAGCGGUGAAAUGCGUAGAUAUCCGGAGGAACACCGGUGGCGAAGGCGGCUUCCUGGACCGACACUGACGCUGAGGCGCGAAAGCUAGGGAAGCAAACGGG
rnacentral:rRNA from 1 species